AAAAAUGUGAUAAUUUAAGAUAUCGAAAAAAUUUUAUUUUUUUUGUUAAACUAAUAAAUUUUUCAUAAUUGAUUUCUUUAUAAAAAAAGCAUAAUUUUAUAAAAAAAUUAAUAAGAUAAAUUAUAAAAUUUUGUUAAAUCACAUUGCUUUUGAUAAUAAAGUAAUUUUAUUUUAUUUUACAUAAGUAACCAUAUAAUACGCCAUGAAACAACUACAAAGCUUUAUGAUUCUCCAAUAUAUGAGAGCACACUAGCCACAUGAGGAAGGACUUAACAAUCCAACAGGAUCCACUUGGUCCAUCUUAUUGGCCAACUUUCCACUUAAUUUGGCGAAAAACAAUUCUUAUCUUUUGCAGGGCUUAAGCCAACUAAGAACCGUAUUUCUUUCAACAAGAUGAACUUCAUAACACGUUCUCUCUUUCGCAUGUGUAGGGGUAGGACCGAUACAACGAGCUAUUUUCAUUGGCGUGUUGGCCUCUCAUUGGAGCAUUGUUCCAGGUCAAAGGAGCAAUAAGUAUUCACAAAGGUGAAUCAAUAAAAAUGCCAGAGUAGCUUUCGCACUUGGCAGAAGAACCUAGUACAACAUGCUGCUCUUCCAAUUCAAAAUAAGGACAAAUGAUAAAUCACAAGCAUCAAUCACUGAAAAUAACACUCCAGUUGAAGCUUUUAUGACUCGGAUUUAAAGUAGCUGAUUACAGGCACUUAUUAGACUAUAGUAAUUCCAUAGAGGAGAUUAAAGAAAAAAUGGGAAGGCAAAUUGUAUAUCUUUUCCUUGCAGGAGUUACAAACAAGUUGAAAACGCCCAAUUUAAUUUCUUUCCAGGAUCCUGUCCAGGCAAGUUUCAGAAUAAAGAGUACUGCUUUUGCAGAUUUUACUAACCAAAGAAUAGCAUAUGCCCAUUUCUAAGAGAAUAACCUAUCCCAAACAGAAAACCUAAAAUAAAAAAUCAUCAUACAGUUUCCUAGCCUCUUCAAAAUCUUCAUUCUUAGAAAUUCCAUGAAUCAGUGUAUUCUUUCGGAAGAAUACCCUUAUUGAUCAUCUCAAACCAAAGCUUCUAAGCAUCACCAAGCCAUCCCAUCUCACAAAGACAAUGAGUCGUUGUAUACAUGACCCUAUCUGGGGCAUAGCCUCUAUCUUCAAGAUCAUUGAAAAUCUAAGGCCUCAAGUGACAUUUUAUACUUGCAAAGUCCAUUGAUGACUUCCUGAUAUGUAUAAAUAUCAGGAGCACAAUUCUUGGCAAUCAUUGUGUGAAGAAGCUCAGACACUCUCACAAAAUUCCUCAGCUUACAAAACCCAGAUAUCAAUGCAUUGAAAGCAAUAUUUCUAGGGACUAACCCCUCUUCUAAAACCUGUCUUAGAAGUUGAUAACCCUUCAUAAAUUUACCAUC
rnacentral:misc_RNA from 1 species